rnacentral:rRNA from 1 species
AGGGUGUAAACGCUGCAGACUUGGUGUUGGAGGCCCUUUGGGGGCAUUCAGUGCCGGAGAGAAGUUGUUAAGUCUGCUACUUGGGGAGUACGUCCGCAAGGAUGAAACUUAAAGGGAAUUGGCGGGGGAGCACCGCAACGGGAGGAGCGUGCGGUUUAAUUGGAUUCAACACCGUAAAACUCACCAGGGAAGACUGUUACAUGAAGGCCGAGAUGAAGACUCUGCUAGAUUUUCAGAGAGGAGGUGCAUGGCGUCAGUGACU